CUUGAGCGAGCCGAGCCACAGCGGGCGGCCGUCGGGCCGGUCCUGGCCGUAGGCGGUGAGGAGGGCCUGGGCCUC
rnacentral:antisense_RNA from 1 species